UCACUUACCUGGACGGGGUCAAUGCGUGAUCAAGAAGGUCCAUGGCCUAGGUUGGUGACCUCCAUUGCACUCAGGAGGGGUGCCCGCCUAAGGUCGGCCCAAGUGGUCGAACCUACGUCAUAAUUUGUGGCAGUGGGGGCUUGCGUUCGCGCAGCCCCUGC
rfam:Helianthus annuus linkage group 8, whole genome shotgun sequence.